rnacentral:rRNA from 1 species
GACGAACGCUGGCGGCGUGCCUAAUACAUGCAAGUUGAGCGCUGAAGGUUGGUACUUGUCCCAACUGGCUGAGCAGCGAACGGGUGAGUAACGCGUGGGGAAUCUGCCUUUGAGCGGGGGACAACAUUUGGAAACGAAUGCUAAUACCGCAUAAAAACUUUAAACACAAGUUUUAAGUUUGAAAGAUGCAAUUGCAUCACUCAAAGAUGAUCCCGCGUUGUAUUAGCUAGUUGGUGAGGUAAAGGCUCACCAAGGCGAUGAUACAUAGCCGACCUGAGAGGGUGAUCGGCCACAUUGGGACUGAGACACGGCCCAAACUCCUACGGGAGGCAGCAGUAGGGAAUCUUCGGCAAUGGACGAAAGUCUGACCGAGCAACGCCGCGUGAGUGAAGAAGGUUUUCGGAUCGUAAAACUCUGUUGGUAGAGAAGAACGUUGGUGAGAGUGGAAAGCUCAUCAAGUGACGGUAACUACCCAGAAGGGGACGGCUAACUACGUG